rnacentral:rRNA from 1 species
GUCCACGCCCUAAACGAUGCGAACUGGACGUUGGGAGCAACUAGGCUCUCAGUGUCGAAGCUAACGCGUUAAGUUCGCCGCCUGGGGAGUACGGUCGCAAGACUGAAACUCAAAGGAAUUGACGGGGGCCCGCACAAGCGGUGGAGUAUGUGGUUUAAUUCGAUGCAACGCGAAGAACCUUACCUGGCCUUGACAUCCACGGAACCCUUGAGAGAUCGAGGGGUGCCUUCGGGAACCGUGAGACAGGUGCUGCAUGGCUGUCGU